GACGAACGCUGGCGGCGUGCCUAAUACAUGCAAGUAGAACGCUGAAGAGGGGAGCUUGCUCUUCUUGGAUGAGUUGCGAACGGGUGAGUAACGCGUAGGUAACCUGCCUUGUAGCGGGGGAUAACUAUUGGAAACGAUAGCUAAUACCGCAUAACAAUGGAUGACACAUGUCAUUUAUUUGAAAGGGGCAAUUGCUCCACUACAAGAUGGACCUGCGUUGUAUUAGCUAGUAGGUGAGGUAAUGGCUCACCUAGGCGACGAUACAUAGCCGACCUGAGAGGGUGAUAGGCCACACUGGGACUGAGACACGGCCCAGACGCCUACGGGAGGCAGCAGUAGGGAAUCUUCGGCAAUGGGGGCAACCCUGACCGAGCAACGCCGCGUGAGUGAAGAAGGUUUUCGGAUCGUAAAGCUCUGUUGUAAGUCAAGAACGGGUGUGAGAGUGGAAAGUUCACACUGUGACGGUAGCUUACCAGAAAGGGACGGCUAACUACGUG
rnacentral:rRNA from 1 species